GCCGGUGUGGCUUAGCUGGUUAUAGCGCCAGACUCACUAACAAUCUGAAAAUAAGGGUCAGACUGAAUGUGCUGGACUCAUAAUCUGGAGGUCGAGGGCUCAAAUCCCUCCACCGGCA
rnacentral:tRNA from 1 species